rnacentral:rRNA from 1 species
GGGUGGGCAGGCGCGCAAUUACCCAAUCCUAAUUCAGGGAGGUAGUGACAAUAAAUAACGAUACAGGGCCAUUGGUCUUGUAAUUGGAAUGAGUACAAUGUAAAUACCUUAACGAGGAACAAUUGGAGGGCAAGUCUGGUGCCAGCAGCCGCGGUAAUUCCAGCUCCAAUAGCGUAUAUUAAAGUUGUUGCAGUUAAAAAGCUCGUAGUUGAACUUUGGGUUUGGUUGACCGGUCCGAUUUUUUUCGUGUACUGGCUCGACUGAAUCUUUCCUUCUGGCUAACCUUCAGGGUUUACUCUGUAGGCGAACCAGGACUUUUACUUUGAAAAAAUUAGAGUGUUCAAAGCAGGCGAUACCUCGAAUAUAUUAGCAUGGAAUAAUAGAAUAGGACGUUUGGUUCUAUUUUGUUGGUUUCUAGGACCAUCGUAAUGAUUAAUAGGGACGGUCGGGGGCAUCAGUAUUCAAUUGUCAGAGGUGAAAUUCUUGGAUUUAUUGAAGACUAACUACUGCGAAAGCAUUUGCCAAGGACGUUUUCAUUAAUCAAGAACGAAAGUUAGGGGAUCGAAGAUGAUCAGAUACCGUCGUAGUCUUAACCAUAAACUAUGCCGACUAGGGAUCGGGUGGUGUUUUUUUAUGACCCACUCGGCACCUUACGAGAAAUCAAAGUUUUUGGGUUCUGGGGGGAGUAUGGUCGCAUGCUGAAACUUAAAGGAAUUGACGGAAGGGCACCACCAGGAGUGGAGCCUGCGGCUUUAAUUUGACUCAACACGGGGAAACUCACCAAGUCCAGACACAUAAGGAUUGACAGAUUGAGAGCUCUUUCUUGAUUCUGUGGGUGGUGGUGCAUGGCCGUUCUACUUGGUGAAAAAAUAU